GAGGAAUAUUGGUCAAUGGUCGCAAGACUGAACCAGCCAUGCCGCGUGCAGGAAGAAGCAUCUAUGGUGUGUAAACUGCUUUUAUACAGGAAGAAACAACGCUACGUGUAGCGUCUUGACGGUACUGUAAGAAUAAGGACCGGCUAACUCCGUGCCAGCAGCCGCGGUAAUACGGAGGGUCCAAGCGUUAUCCGGAAUCAUUGGGUUUAAAGGGUCCGUAGGCGGCCUUAUAAGUCAGUGGUGAAAUCUCCUAGCUCAACUAGGAAACUGCCAUUGAUACUGUAAGGCUUGAAUUUUUGUGAAGUAACUAGAAUAUGUAGUGUAGCGGUGAAAUGCUUAGAUAUUACAUGGAAUACCAAUUGCGAAGGCAGGUUACUAACAAACGAUUGACGCUGAUGGACGAAAGCGUGGGGAGCGAAC
rnacentral:rRNA from 1 species